rfam:Oryza barthii chromosome 3, whole genome shotgun sequence.
AAAAAGACAAACCCUGAGUUUCCGUGUCCAACUUUGACUGUCCGUCUUAUAUAAAAUUUUUUUAUAAUUCGUAUUUUCAUUGUUGUUAGAUGAUAAAACAUGAUUAAUAUUUUAUGCGUGACUUGUCUUUUUAAUUUUUUUUCAUAAUUUUUUUAAAUAAGACGGACGGUUAAACGUUGGGCAUGGAACUAGGGUUUGUCUUUUU